ACCAUAAUUGGCAAAAAAAGGUGUUUGUUACAUAAAAGAAUGCACUGUAUUAUUAUAAGUAAAUUGUGCCAAUGGCAGAAGAGUUAUCUAAUCAUCUUAUUAAUAUUUGAUGGUACAUCUUAAAUAUUUUUUGAAUAGAUAUUAGUUCAUUUUUGUAAGAUAUUGAUAAAAUAAACUAGUAGUCUAUAGAAUAGUCAGUUUAGGAGGACUGAUGAUUGAUUUAGUUAUUAAAAGCGAUUAUUAUAGGAUUAUGGUGUCAUAUUGAGAGGUCUUACUGUAGGAAACACUGGAUUAUUUUUGCAACUAAAUGACCAAGGAAGAGUCUAACGUCGUUUAACACAUCCAAAUCCUAAAAUCAGACCCUAAAAACCCUAAAAAUCCACUAUAUAUUCUUUCCUCCCACUACCUUCAAAAUCCCGAAUUUAUUAUUCCCCUUAACUCCUAAACUAGAGUAUAUAUGAGAGUCAGUUUUGGAUAUGUUAGAGGCGACAAGAUAAGAAAUCAAACCCAAAAAGAAAUUUUGAAAAAGGUCAAGUACUCUAAGAGAACCAAGCUUUCAAAGUUACUCCCCCCCCUGCAGCUAUAAAUUCUGUACCCCUUCUCACUCAUUUCUUCGUAUCUCCUAGCUCACAGGUUGUAUGGACUUGAGAUUUGGAUACAGUAUUCUUAACUUUAUUAGAAACAAAACCCAACAAAUUUCGCCUAAAAAGUCCAAGUGGUCACUAAGAACCAAGGCCCCGAAAUUCACUAAUCCUCACUGCCCUAGUCUUAGACACCCGCAACUUUGACGACCCAUAUCUCCCUUGAUACUUGAUCAAAUCACAUGAGAUUUGUCUCUAAUUGUUUCUCACUUUGUCUAUUACAAACCCACAAAAAAUCGCAUUCAAAAUCCUCUCCUAACUCAUUCUACACACAAAAAUGUUCUACUGAAAUCCUCCUUCUUCCCCCUCUGCUCUUCU
rnacentral:lncRNA from 1 species